rnacentral:rRNA from 1 species
GACGAACGCUGGCGGCGUGCUUAACACAUGCAAGUCGAGCGGUAAGGCCCUUUCGGGGGUACACGAGCGGCGAACGGGUGAGUAACACGUGGGUGACCUGCCCUUAGCUCUGGGAUAAGCCUGGGAAACUGGGUCUAAUACCGGAUAUGACUCCAUGACGCAUGUUGUGGGGUGGAAAGCCUUGUGCGGCUAGGGAUGGGCCCGCGGCCUAUCAGCUUGUUGGUGGGGUGANGGCCUACCAAGGCGACGACGGGUAGCCGGCCUGAGAGGGCGACCGGCCACACUGGGACUGAGACACGGCCCAGACUCCUACGGGAGGCAGCAGUGGGGAAUCUUGCGCAAUGGGCGAAAGCCUGACGCAGCGACGCCGCGUGGGGAUGACGGCCUGGU